rnacentral:rRNA from 1 species
GUCUCAGUUCGGAUUGGAGUCUGNAACCCGACUCCAUGAAGCUGGAUUCGCUAGUAAUCGCGCAUCAGCCACGGCGCGGUGAAUACGUUCCCGGGCCUUGUACACACCGCCCGUCAAGCCAUGGAAGCCGGGGGUGCCUGAAGUGCGCUGCCGCAAGGAGCGCCCUAGGGUAAAACCGGUGACUGGGGCUAAGUCGUAACAAGGUAAC